UGCACAAUUGAAAGGGCACACAAUAAUGCUAAAGCCCUAGUUGAGUGGUAGAGAGAGCAUGAUCACACAGCAGAGUCUCCCAUGAGUACACCACAGCUCUCCACUUACUGCAGAAGCGAGGAAGCACUAUCAGGAAGACAUCCAAGAACUUAAUAAAGUUGAAGUCAUCAGCCACAAUCCCCAGUAGUUAUGGAACUCUAGCAAGAAAACAAGCAAAUCAGAGAAUUGCAACAAGAGAAAAAGAACUGUGAACAUCCUUGGACUUGGAUGAGCUCCCAUCUGCCUUGUGCCUUGGAACUAAUGAUGAGCGUACUCAAGAGCAAACUGCUAAUGGCUAGUGAAAAG
rnacentral:lncRNA from 1 species